UACAUGCAAGUCGAGCGAACAGAUGAGAAGCUUGCUUCUCUGAUGUUAGCGGCGGACGGGUGAGUAACACGUGGGUAACCUACCUAUAAGACUGGGAUAACUCCGGGAAACCGGGGCUAAUACCGGAUAAUAUUUUGAACCGCAUGGUUCAAUAGUGAAAGACGGUUUCGGCUGUCACUUAUAGAUGGACCCGCGCCGUAUUAGCUAGUUGGUAAGGUAAUGGCUUACCAAGGCGACGAUACGUAGCCGACCUGAGAGGGUGAUCGGCCACACUGGAACUGAGACACGGUCCAGACUCCUACGGGAGGCAGCAGUAGGGAAUCUUCCGCAAUGGGCGAAAGCCUGACGGAGCAACGCCGCGUGAGUGAUGAAGGUCUUCGGAUCGUAAAACUCUGUUGUUAGGGAAGAACAAAUUUGUUAGUAACUGAACAAGUCUUGACGGUACCUAACCAGAAAGCCACGGCUAACUACGUGCCAGCAGCCGCGGUAAUACGUAGGUGGCAAGCGUUAUCCGGAAUUAUUGGGCGUAAAGCGCGCGUAGGCGGUUUCUUAAGUCUGAUGUGAAAGCCCACGGCUCAACCGUGGAGGGUCAUUGGAAACUGGGAAACUUGAGUGCAGAAGAGGAGAGUGGAAUUCCAUGUGUAGCGGUGAAAUGCGCAGAGAUAUGGAGGAACACCAGUGGCGAAGGCGGCUCUCUGGUCUGUAACUGACGCUGAUGUGCGAAAGCGUGGGGAUCAAACAGGAUUAGAUACCCUGGUAGUCCACGCCGUAAACGAUGAGUGCUAAGUGUUAGGGGGUUUCCGCCCCUUAGUGCUGCAGCUAACGCAUUAAGCACUCCGCCUGGGGAGUACGACCGCAAGGUUGAAACUCAAAGGAAUUGACGGGGACCCGCACAAGCGGUGGAGCAUGUGGUUUAAUUCGAAGCAACGCGAAGAACCUUACCAAAUCUUGACAUCCUUUGACCGCUCUAGAGAUAGAGUCUUCCCCUUCGGGGGACAAAGUGACAGGUGGUGCAUGGUUGUCGUCAGCUCGUGUCGUGAGAUGUUGGGUUAAGUCCCGCAACGAGCGCAACCCUUAAGCUUAGUUGCCAUCAUUAAGUUGGGCACUCUAGGUUGACUGCCGGUGACAAACCGGAGGAAGGUGGGGAUGACGUCAAAUCAUCAUGCCCCUUAUGAUUUGGGCUACACACGUGCUACAAUGGAUAAUACAAAGGGCAGCGAAUCCGCGAGGCCAAGCAAAUCCCAUAAAAUUAUUCUCAGUUCGGAUUGUAGUCUGCAACUCGACUACAUGAAGCUGGAAUCGCUAGUAAUCGUAGAUCAGCAUGCUACGGUGAAUACGUUCCCGGGUCUUGUACACACCGCCCGUCACACCACGAGAGUUUGUAACACCCGAAGCCGGUGGAGUAACCUUUUAGGAGCUAGCCGUCGAAGGU
rnacentral:rRNA from 2 species